rnacentral:tRNA from 1 species
GGGCCCGUGGGGUAGCUUGGAAUCCUUCCAGCUUGGGGUGCUGGUGACUCGCGUUCAAAUCGCGACGGGCCCACCA